GACGAACGCUGGCGGCAGGCUUAACACAUGCAAGUCGAGCGCCCACUUCGGUGGGAGCGGCAGACGGGUUAGUAACGCGUGGGAACGUGCCCUUCGGUACGGAAUAGCCCUGGGAAACUGGGUGUAAUACCGUAUACGACCUCCGGGUGAAAGAUUUAUCGCCGAAGGAUCGGCCCGCGUUAGAUUAGCUAGUUGGUGAGGUAAAGGCUUACCAAGGCUACGAUCUAUAGCUGUUCUGAGAGGAAGAUCAGCAACACUGGGACUGAGACACGGCCCAGACUCCUACGGGAGGCAGCAGUGGGGAAUAUUGGACAAUGGGCGAAAGCCUGAUCCAGCCAUGCCGCGUGGAUGAAGAAGGCCCUAGGGUUGUAAAGUCCUUUCAAUGGUGAAGAUAAUGACGGUAACCAUACAAGAAGCCCCGGCUAAUUUCG
rnacentral:rRNA from 1 species